UACAUAAACACUGAAAACAAAACUCAGUUAAGUAAAAUAUUAAAAACUGUAUUCAAUUCCUUAAAAUGUUAUUUCUCAUUUUAUAAAUCAUUCUGUAUAAUUUGUUUCUUUGCAAUGAAAAUAAAGCAACCUUGAAACAACAUACUACAAUACAGUUUGGCCCUAGAACUACACAGGGAUCCGGGUCCAGACCCUUGAGCAGGAAACCUUAGCGUCAGCUCUCCGUAUAUGCAGUACCUCCAUAUCCAGGGUUCUGCACCCAGGGAUUCAACCAACGGCAGAUCGUGUGGUACUUAGUGUUUACUAUUAAAAAAUCCACAUAUAAGUGAACCGUGCAAUUCAAAUUCAUGUUGUUCAAGGCACUCUCAUAUACUCUGGAGAAGGAAAACCAGAAUCACUUUUGAGAUAAGCUGAAAAUGAUCAGAGGAGAAAGAAGUUACUGGUGAAUAUUAGUGACACUCUUCCACUUAUCUAAUGAAAUAAUGUUUAGAGUCACAAAAGAAAGAAUCCAAAUCAGUCUCCCAGAAUUCAUUCACGGGAGUAAAUUCCUAUUAGGCCUAACCUAAGAAAAAAAUAGCAGUUUCAAUAGGUUUUUUAAAAAGCUAAAAAAAAUAAAUAAAUAAAAAGAGUAUGUAAUAUUAUUUGGCUACAGAUUUCGUGAAAUUAUCUUAUUUACAACCAAUAUGAGUAAACAUAGAUUUUUUAGUUACCUCAAAUAUCAUAAAUAUACAAGAUCUUUUUCAGCAGUUACGUAUUUUACUCAUGAAUCCUUAACUAAAGCUGAGCCUACCUGGUAGCUUACAGAUGUCAUCAAAGAGAACAAAUUUAUAUUCUACCAAACAGAAAGCUUAACCUAGAAAUGAAACUCACAGUAAACAUCUGAAAAAGCCUAGUAAGAGCUUCUAUUCUUCAAAUGAAUAGACCCCUUCAUAUAGAGAUAUACACCUACUGUGUAAUGAGAAAGAAUAAUAAAAUUUUAAAUUCUGACUUUGAAGCCAAAUUUUGCACAUAAAGGGAAGAAAAACUAACACUUUUUCAAUAAUUCAUCAAAUUGUCACUGAACACCCACUCUUUCAAGCACCCUAACAGGCCCAAGAUACAAGACUGAAUAAGAUACACAGGUCCCAUGCUCUCACUGGGGAGACAGAGGGUGACCAAGCAGCCCCUGGUGGGCUGCUGUCCAGGAAUUCAGAUCUACAGGAGACACCAAAGCACCACUGGAAUACACUGGCCACGUAUGGCUGAAGUCAGCUCGUUACAGAGCCGAACAGUAGAGAGAUUUUUAUCAGGAUUAAUAAUUAUUACCAUCUAAAUUUUAAAUACCCUCUAGGAAGUUGUGCAGUUUAGAAAAAUCACGGAUUAAAACUACCAAAACUGGGAGUUUCCUGGUGGUCUAGUGGUUGGGACCCAGCCCUUUCACCACUGCAGCUCAGGUACAAUCCCUAGGCUGAGAACUGAGAUUCUACCCCAAACCACUAUGUGCUGCAACCAAAACAAAACAAAACAAAGUCCAAAACCUGGGAAAUGUUUUCUCCGGUUCUUGUAUGUAUGUAUGUAUGUAUGUACGUAUGUGUGUGUGUCUUUUUAGGGCUGCACCCGUGGCAUAUGGAGGUUCCCAAGCCUGGGAAACUCCAUAGGCCUCGGCAGCGGCCCGGGAAAUAGCAAAAAGACAAAAAGACAAAAAAAAAAAAAAAAAAAAAAAAAAAGAUAGGAAAACCGUGAACUCUAAGAAUUCUGACUAAAACAGAAUUAGAAAAGAACUUUUCGUAUGCCUUCUACACUUCUCAAUGGUCAGAAGACAAAAAUCACUUUAAUGCUAAACACAUCUUUAAGUGUUAAACUUCUCAGUUCAAAAUUACUGUAAAGCACCAUAAAAACUUGUCUUUAUGUGCUUUAUAUCUGUACAGUUGAUAAUAUUAGGUAAUUAUUGCUAAUUUUGAAGCUGUGGUGAUAACUGUGAUUGUUUUAAAAGAGUCAAGAUCAGGAGUUCCCAUUGUGGCUCAGCAGUAACAAACCCAACCAGUAUUAAUGAGGAUGCGGGUUCAAUCCCUGCCCUUGCUCAGUGGGUUACAGAUCCUAUGUUGCUGUGGCUGUGGUGUGGGCCUGCAGCGGCAGCUACAAUUUGACCCUUAGCCUGGGAACUUCAAUGUGCUGUAGGUGAGGCCCUAAAAAGAAAAAAAUAAUAAUAAUAAAAAAAAAUAAAAAGCCAGAGUGGUCCAGAUAUAACAUGCUAAAAAGAAGCCUAUUUUAUUCUUUGGAAAAACCCUAAGAUUUAAUAAGCUUUCUUAUGAGUGAAUGUGUAAGCCUACACAUAGUUAAAUUUGCUCUUUAAGACCUCCCAAAUCAGAACAUUUCAAAGCGAAUCAUCAACAGUAUACACAGACACACAUUUACAUGUAUCACACACAGAACAAGUCAGGAGGGUAGAGAGCACAACAUUAACAGCAUUUACACUAAGUAACAGAAUUCUAUCAAUGGUAAUUUUUUAAAAAUGCUUUACAAGUUUUUCAAUAAACCUAUUGCUUUUCUAAUCAGUUACAAAAUUUGAACAAAACAAUAACAAGCAAAACAAUGAAGUUUAGAUUUUUAAAAGUAAAUGCAUAAAAUAAAGAGGUUACAGCCAAGAAAGGGCAAAUGAGACAAGCCAGAUGAACACCUGCCCUUAGAAAACACUGGUCAAGGACAUGGAGACGCCAAAGAAAAGUAUAAGCGUCCUUCAUCUUAUUGUGGAAGAGAAGUCAAACUUCACUUUCUGCUGAGUGGCGAUCCCAUUUACCUACUUGACAUGCACAAUCACGACUACCUUUUCCUCUAAACAGUUUAUUUUUUAAAAUAUUAUAUGCUAAGACUGACAAAACAAGGAUGGCUGCAUUAGGGAAUUUAGGCUUUAGCUAAAAUUAAUACUAUGUGACCAUGUAAGUACUGACCACGUUUUCAAGUGACUGCUCCUGCCUUUGUACUACCUGCUGUGCCUGUUCUGGGACGUCUCCCUUCGUACUUCCCAUUAUCUUUGGUGCAUUUCUCAGGUAACUAGAAGUUAAUAAGUUACUCAAGUCAUUUAGGAAACAGGAAAAAGGUUUUACAAUCUCAGGGUAGAUUGUCCUUCCUUUCAUCCAACUAAGAAGGCCACCUGAACUAUUCCAAGAAGACUGCGGCUCUAUAGCCAGUGGUUCUACUUGAGAAAUGAAACUUCAGAUAUGACUCAUGUGUUGGCAUAAUUUGAAAAUAAAAAUACAAUAAUAAGUUUAAAACUGCACUAUAAACAACCUAAGAGUGAACCCAUCUCUACCUCAGAAUAAAGAUAUUUAGGGAAAAUGCUCCCCCUACCCAUUUUUCAUUCUUCUUGGCUGCCUGUCCUAAGUCCCAAAGGAGCAAGGCAGACAGCACUCUGGGAAAUCAAAGAGCCAUUUGCUUGCCUCCCAUGCUGGCUGGGAGUCUGACAGCACCUCGGAGAGGCAAAAUGUCUCAGUUUGGUAGUAAAACUGCCUUUCUCUGGGUAAGAAGAAUUUAACAAGAAAUAGCUCAAGAUAUAUUACUAAAGUAAACCCUGAAUCACUUUUUUUUUAAUUCAUCACUACUUUUCAGUUUGUGUUCAUAUUUACCUUUUAUCAACACUUUCUAUCCAUCAAAACGUUUUACUUUGCUAUUAUAUAUAAUCUGAACAAGCAUGAAUAAUACCUGCUUUUUGCUCUGAAAUGGAUCCUUUUUAUCCACACUGAUGAAUUUCUGUUAACCUAGUAGUAGGGUUGCUGGUUCAGCAGCAACCAUUCAGAGAAAAAAAAAAAAAGUGGACAUGCUGAAUUCUUCUUUGCCUAGCACUUCAAGACAGAAAAAAACUCCGUAAACUAUAACAAAAACACUGUUGUGAUCACACUGAGAUAUCUGACAAGUCAUGAUCUGCACCUCCUUGACCAAAUUCCACAAUAGAGACUGUAACUGAGCCUGACCCAGUCUGCUUGCCAUCGCCGCCUCUGCCCAUCACUACUCCUCCUUGGGUUUCUUCUUGCAUGGCUUUCAAGAGAGUCACACUUAAAAAAAAAGAAAGAAAGAAAAUUUCCCAUAGCUUUGUUCCUUUUCUCAUUUUUAAAAUUCUCUUAUCUCUAAAUAGACGCACUAUACUUUUGGGCUGUCCCUUGUCUCUUGGUGAAUUCAUGUAAUCUCAUAUUGCUAUUCUUUGUCUUUAAUUUAAUGCCCACGCUAAUUUAUACUUUCGGUCCUCUCUUCUUUCCUGAGAGCUAAGUCCACAUUCUUACCAGGGUUAAGGAGAAGACAAAGACGACUCCCAGGUAUUUAUAUACCAUUUUGCUUUCUUUUAAAAGAAUUCCAUUAGCUUGACUGCAUGUCUUUCUAUGAUGAGUCGGGUAAGGCCUCUCUCUGCCCUCAAAGAGCACAGAGUUUGUCUAGCGGAUGAAAUAGAAAAUAUUUACAAGGGCUAGAGCAGAGGUAAUGACAUUUACGGGAGAGUAAACUGAUUAAGAGCCAGUUCUGUAUUCCAGACCAAUCAGCUAGGAUCCCAUCCCUUUCCCCGAGCUUGUCUGUGGACCAGGCCUUCAUCUGGUGUUAUGAUGAUGCAGCCAGUAAUGCUGAGACUCAUCACUACCUAGCAACCUCUGGGUUCAGCAGAACCAGGGAUGCUGAGACAAGAACAGGAUUUGCGUUAGCUCUGUCCCUCUGGACUCGGUGCUUCAGGCUGCACGCAACUCCUGAAGGAAAAAGCCAUCCUGUCACUCUGGCUAUUCUCCCUUGGUCCCUCCUAGGGGACAGCUUGGUCUCAACUGACCCUUCAUUAUGGAGUUCCCAGCAUGUGCUAUACGUAGAGUGAUAAAGUGCCUGACCAAGUAAGUAAUUAAGGCAUUACCAAGGAAUUAACACUGCCACUGAGAACAAGUCUUCACUACAAAUGGCGCCAGAAGGGAGGAGAAGGUGCCUCUAAGCAGAAAGGAAGGCUCAGCAAGGAUGAAAGAGAGAAGCAUAAAUGUAACAGAAAGAUCUCCAGGCAAGCAGAGGGUUUGCUACAACCCAAACACAGGCCAAAGGGCAACAGCAGGAGGCGAGGCUGGAUGGAAGCCCAAGUGCUAAGAGCCUUACUGCCACCACCUAAGGAGCUUGGCCUGGAUUGGCCUGUAAGCAACGGCCAACCACGAUUAAGCAGAAGAGUCAAAUGAUGAAAUCUGUGUCUUCAAAAGACCCACGUUGGAAAGGGUGAAAGGCAGAUAAACAGUAGUGAAGAGGCAAGGUACCUGGAUGAAGACUUGGUAGAAGGGGAGUGGAGAUAAAGAACAGGAAAUGGAUUCAAGAGACAUUAGAGACGACUGACUGGCUCUGACCACUGACAGGACCCAUCUGGCACACUAGCAGCCAAUAAAUGUUUGUUAUACCAAUUAGUGAGCAGGAUAAUGAUCACUUAGAUCACAAAGGACAGAAAACAAAAACCACGAGAAACACAAAAAUUCAAGCCAAGGACAAAAGACAGCUAGAGAAACUGAAAGGGAACAAAGACACCAAAUGAAGCCAUACUCCUCCACCUGGCAGUGACUCCGCAAGAUACCUGGAUGGCUGGCAUUUCCUACAGACCCUUACACGGCCAGCAUCUUAGUGUGCUCUCCCCUGACGGCACUACUUAAAACUUAACAACCCAGGCAUCCCUCCCAGCACCCUCCAAGCCCCUCCCCUGCUUUAUUUGUCUCUGUCCUACUUACCAACAUCUAAGAUACUAUAUACUUUCCUUAUUUAUUGUGUUUAAAGUCUCUACUUAAAUGUAAGCUCCAUCAGGGGAGGAAUUUUGUCUGCUUCACUCACCAUUGUACACUAGAGCCUAAAAAAGUGCCUGGCAUAUAGCACGUGCUCAACAAAUACUUGCUGAUUGACUGACUGAAUAAUGCAGAGAAAUAAAAAGAGUAGGACUGUUAUGUGUAGAUUAAUAAGUAUGAAAAUGAAAUGGUAUCUAACUUGGAAAUUCUAUUAAUUAUAGUGAAGGAUAAAAAUAAAAAUCUAUACAACCGUCCUUUAAAUAAAUGCAAAAGGCUCAAAAACGUUUUCUUAGAAUAUGCAUUUUUAUAUAUAUUCAAAUACAACAAACAUAUAACAAAGUUGUAACAAUUAUAACGAAUAUUUUCUAUUUAGUCACAAAGGAAUGAAGUUUUACUGCUUGAAAAAUCGCUGCAAUACUUGAUAGCGACAUUGCAAACCCACCACUUCAAGUAUUUAAAUUCUAUUAAUACCUUUCCAACUUCCAUUAUAAGUUUCUAACUUUCUUUCUGAAAUUGUGGCUAUUUUAAAAUGUUAAAAAAAACCUAAGAAGUGAAAGUUGAAAUACCAGAAUGUUAGUAAAAUAAUAGUCAUUGGCUUUAAGAUACAGUGAAGAGGCUAUGACAUUAAAACGUAAAGAAUGGUCAAAAAGUUAGAAAUUCAAAAAUAUCCAAGAACACAAAAAAGCCCACCUAGCUGGCUGGCUUCGGGAAAAUGAGCAAAUAUCAUUAAGGCUCACUUUCCUCACCAAUAAAAUGCAGCUAACACUAGCACCUACCUACCUGAUAAGCUUAUUCUGAGAGGGUUUUCUGGAGGAUUAAAUCUGUUUCAGGUCAUCAGCUUGGCACAAUGCCUCUAAUCGUCAUUUCUUUCUUUAACCCAGAAAUAUUUACGAAGAACCUACCAUACAAAAGGCACCACACUUACUGGCUACAGUGGCAAAUGAGACAGACACUCCUGCUUCAGAGAAUCUAUGACAACCACAACAAGUCUGAAGACAGAUGAAUUACCAAGUGUGACAGGUGCUACAGAGGAAGCCUAUAGGGUGGCUUCUGGUCAGAAAUCAGGGAAGUGAGGGAAUUCAGCUUUCGAUGUGGUCAGGAAAAGUGUCUCCGAGGACAGGAAAGCUGAGACGCUCGUUCCCCACGCACAGAGGGCACCGGAUGAGGGUGUGGGUGAGGAGACUGACGUGUGCAAAGGCUGGGGCCUGUCUGAGGAGCUGAGGGGACCCGGUGCACCUGACGCCCAGGAAGCCACUCGCAGAGCCAGGCAAGAGCUGGAUGACGCUGGACUCAGAAGGAAAACCACAGGAAUUUGCGAUUUUAUUCUAUGGGAAUUUAUUCUUCAGUGGAAAGCUGCUGAGGUUUUCUGUUUUUUUCAGAGGGAAAGAUAACCCAAUUUAUGUCUCAUAAAAAUCACUCAGGCUAUUUUUGCAAAAUGUCUUACAGGGGAAUGUGAAUGGAAGCAGAAAAUUAGUGCUAAGACUAAAGCCCCAUCCAGGAGAGAGAGACGGUACCUGCAAUAGGGUGGGAGCAUGGAGAUGAUGAGAACUUGAUGGGUUCCAGACAGAGUUCGAAAUGGCGGGAUUCGGGGGAUGAGGGAAGGGAGAAAUCACAUAUGACUCCUAGAUGUCUGACUUAGGCAAAUGCUCGGCUAAGUAACGCAGUAAAGUAUUUGAUUAAUUUUAGCUAUUCUUAGCUACCCUUAGGACUGAAGAGAAAGAAAAACUGGUGAUCCUACAUCCAAAAUAGUAAAAACAAAAACAAAAAAGAAAGAAACUAAAGUACAAAUAGGAAAGGCGACUGGGUCAAGCGAUGAGGGAAUAGCAGUAGCAGACCACCUUUCCCACUGAAAACAACCAUGAAAGUGAGGUGAAACACCAAACCAACACACUGAGUUAUCUGAAGGCUCAGAGAGAACAACCAGGAGAGCCAGGACAUCAGGAACCUAGAGAAGGGGAUGCAGAGAAAGAGGCCGUUUCCCCUUGGGAUACCUGCCCAUUACAGGGCACCCAGGCCAAGCAGAAAGCAGUAGCCCUGAGCUUGUAUCACUCUCAUUGGGCUGGGAAGACAAAAACUGGAGUUCUGUACUACUAAGGUAGCCAGGAAUUGAGGCUCCCAGCUAAAAAGGAACCACGAAAAACAAGCCCAUCAUUCUGCUCAAUUUUGGCCCUCAGGAAUAUGCUGAAUCAUAAACAACAUGGACUGAAAUGCAGGAAAACUCAUCAAAAAAAUGCUGCAAAGAGGCUAGAAAACUAAGCCGAGCUCUGAUCAGCCUCACAAUACUUAAAAUUCAGGGCUUGCCAAGGAAGAGGCAUCUUGGUAAAUACGCCAGACUUUUAAUAAACGAGCCUUCAGAAGGGCUAUGCACUAGGAGGUUAUUUGAAUUUCCUGAUUACCCUGAAUCCAGGCUUACGU
rnacentral:lncRNA from 1 species